rnacentral:lncRNA from 1 species
GGCUGGGGAGGGAGGCUUCUAAAGAAACCAACUGCUUGGCAAGGUGUUAGAGUGCUGGCAGCAGAGAAUGGUUGGCUAAUGGGUAGUAAAGGGAAUUUACCAACAACAGUAUAGGUUUGAAAAGGGAAGUUGUAUUAGACAGAAAGAACGCUGCAGCAGAGUUCAGCGGGGCGCUUCAGCGAGAGGACUGGGCGUGCCAGAUAAGGAGUGCUGCCUCUGGAUGGUUUGUUUGAUGGCCACCAGGUGAUCUUUGCUCUCAUCACCAACCCUGCUAACACCGUGAUCUCGGACUUCCAGUCUUCAAAAGUGUGAGAAAUAAAUUUCCAUUAUCCAAGCCCCCA